UGUGGGAGCGAGCCUGCUCGCGAAGGUCGUUACCGAUAGCGCGACUUGAUACUUUCGCGAGCAGGCUCGCUCCCACA
rnacentral:misc_RNA from 1 species